CCUAUACAGGUGUUGCAUGGCUGUCGUCAGCUCGUGUCGUGAGAUGUUCGGUUAAGUCCGCUAACGAGCGCAACCCUCGUCGUAUGUUAUAUGUGUCAUACGAGACUGCCGGUAAAAAGCCGGAGGAAGGUGAGGAUGAUGUCAAGUCAGCAUGACCUUUAUAUCCUGGGCUACACGCACGCUACAAUGGGAAGGGACAAUAGGUUGCGAAGCCGCGAGGCGGAGCCAAUCCAGCAAAACUUCCCUCAGUUCAGAUUGCAGGCUGCAACCCGCCUGCAUGAAGUUGGAGUUGCUAGUAAACGCAGGUCAGCCAUACUGCGUUGAAUACGUUCCCGGGGCUU
rnacentral:rRNA from 1 species